rnacentral:rRNA from 1 species
CUACGGGUGGCAGCAGUGAGGAAUUUUGCGCAAUGGGGGAAACCCUGACGCAGCAACGCCGCGUGAGCGAAGAAGGCCCUCGGGUCGUAAAGCUCUGUCAAGUGGGAAAAAAAUCUUUUGAUCAAUAGUCAAAAGACUUGAUGGUACCACUGGAGGAAGCACCGGCUAACUCCGUGCCAGCGGCCGCGGUAAUACGGAGGGUGCAAGCGUUGUUCGGAUUUACUGGGCGCAAAGAGCGUGUAGGCGGUUUAGCAAGUCAGAUGUGAAAGCCCUGGGCUCAACCCGGGAAGUGCAUUUGAAACUGCUUCACUAGAGUAUGGGAGAGGAGAUUGGAAUUCCUGGUGUAGAGGUGAAAUUCGUAGAUAUCAGGAGGAACACCCGUGGCGAAGGCGAUUCUCUGGACCAAUACUGACGCUGAGACGCGAAAGCGUGGGGAGCAAACAGGAUUAGAUACCCGCGUAGUC